UGGAUUGCGGAUCUGAGCCCCAAGUUUCGGCUGUGGGAGUCCGGUGAUCGUUCUCACGAUGUGACCGCCUGAGGCGCUGGUCUACCGAACCUUAUUCCUCUCUCUCGCUGCCUUCUCCGACGAACCCUAACGCCUCCGUAUCUGGAUCAUAGUUUAUCAUAUUGUAAAAGGAGAUAUUGUGCCAAUCAUCAUGGGAAGCAAAAGCUGUAUACCUCCUCUGCAUCUGCAACGGCCUCUUAUUGGUCCUGGCUUGGUGCAACCAGAUCCAUUUGGUCCAGGCAUUCUCCUCCCGCCGGGUGUUUUUCCUUUCGAUAAGUUGCCACCUCCAGAAAUUAUGGCGCAGAAGCUUGCUGCACAACAUGCGGAAAUGCAAAGACUUGCAAUAGAGAACAAAAGGUUUGCAGCUACCCAUUAUUCUUUGAGGAAGGAAUUAUCUGCUGCCCAACAGGAGUUGCAGAGAUUGCAGACUGACAUGAGUGCCAUUAGAGCUGAUCAAGAGCAACAAUUAAGAAUGCUGUUGGAUAAUAUUUCAAAGAUGGACUCUGAGUUGAAAGCUUCUGAACCUGUUAAUGUAGAUUUGCAGCAGGCUCGUCCAGAAGCUCAGAGCUUGGUAGCAGCAAGACAGGAGCUAAUUUCCAGAGUACAACAGCUGACUGAGGAUUUGCAGAGGAGCCAUGGUAAUGUCCAGCAAAUCCCAUCGUUGAUGUUGGAACUUGCGGCCCUUAGACAAGAAUAUCAAGAUUUCAGGUCAUAAAUCUCUCUUCGGCUUUAUAUUCAAGCACACAACUUGUUCUCCUAAUGGUUUGACGUAAGGUCAAAUUGUUCAUUUAGUUUUGUAACAAUUUGACCUUACGAUCAAACCGAGAACAUGCAGAAAUUGGUUCACAUUAUUCUAUAAAAUUCUGUGAAUACUAAAUUGAAUGGUACCCUACCAAAGCGUGAAAUAGAAGACUGUCACCAAGGUCUUGCUACUA